CGGCCGAACAGGUCCGUCGGGAAAUCUGCUCGCUUAACGAGCAGGCGUCCGGCGGAAACCAGUCGGCUUGGGGCCGGAAGACCCGAGGGGUACGUCCGGGGUAGGAGUGAAAUCCCGUAAUCCCGGACGGACCGCCGGUGGCGAAAGCGCCUCGGGAAGACGGACCCGACGGUGAGGGACGAAAGCUAGGGUCACGAACCGGAUUAGAUACCCGGGUAGUCCUAGCCGUAAACGAUGCCCACUAGGUGUGGCACAGGCUACGAGCCUGUGCUGUGCCGUAGGGAAGCCGUGAAGUGGGCCGCCUGGGAA
rnacentral:rRNA from 1 species